rnacentral:piRNA from 1 species
UCACACCUCAGGCAUGACAUAAGCCAC